CACAACUCCAAAUAAUUAUGCAAAGGAUUGACAGUUGGAGAGCGUAGAUAGGAUGGUGCAUCUGUACAGUAGGAGACCCCAGAGCCACUAAAGUGGUGAUGCAGAUCAUGAAGCAGGUAACCGAUCAUCUGGAAACCUGAGGGAUGGGCAGGGAAGAAAAGCCACCAGGAGACACCAUCCUUUCCCUGGAGCUCCUUGUGUUCAGUUCAACAGCUUGGCUCUUCUGACCGGGCGCCGUGCUUGGCUGAAGGACGCAAAGCCAAGGAGACAGUCUAGUAUCAAACAUGGACCCAGACCAGAAAAGAGGGGGGAGGCUCCACAGAAAGGGUGAAGGCGCUUCAUCCAUCAGGACCCUCCAGCACUAGCCUGGCCUUGCUGGGAGCAGCCUGUGCCUACAGAAAACACUUGAAAUCCAGCAUGGACUUCAGAAACCUCAGUGUAGACCUCAGGGUCCUCCACUUCCUUAAGGCCUCUGUUCACCUGUUCCCAAAACUUAAGCAACUUUCUGGUGCCAACACCUUGAAUUCAUAAUCCAAAGGGCAUUUCCCAUCACUGCAUGCCACACUGGUCAUGGUCUGUUGCUACACAUCAAACUGCUUCAAUACAUUUGCAUAAGUGGCAUAAACAACUAUUUUGUGAUGUACAUGAUUCCAUGGAUCAGGAAUUGGGACAGGCACAGCAGGAUGGCUUGUCUCUUCCAUGACAUCUGCGACCUCUGCUGGGCCCUGGAAUCAUCUGGAGGUUCCUUCACUCCAGACGGCAUUUGGGCUGGGAUGUCUGAAGGCUGAGCUCAGCUAGGAUGGUCAACCAAAGCUUCCAUCCAUGGCCUUCUCUAUGCCUUCAGUAGCCAGGUUCCGAGAGGGCGUGUUCCAGGAAGGAAUUCUAGAGCGUCCUUUUUGUGGAUUUACGUCCAUCCCACUAAAGUCUGAGAAGCCGAUUACUGGCCUUUAGGGGUCCCACCAGGUAUUACCGAAAGGGGAAUUGUGACUCUGAACAUAGACUAGAAAUCCACUGUGUGACCCUCCACCGGCAAGAGUAUAUGGCAGGGUGAGGUGAUGGGAGUGUAUACUGCACUUAAAGUCUGGUUUCCUUCUUUGUUAUCUUUGGAUUUAGAUUCCUGAGCAAGACGUGCACUCUGUCCAAUUUACUUCACUUUGGCUUUAAUUUUUACUAAGCAAUGGGAUUUUUAUCUAGGUAAUUGGGCCGUUCUGGAUCAUCUGUCCUCUUUUCCAUGGCCUUUGAAGUCAUGAAGUGUCCCAAGAAGUGUCAGUGAGGACUCUCCGGGGGUUCGGGUCGUGUCCCUUUUAGGGUGGGUGUGCUCUUCACCUUUAACUAUGAGUGGAGUGUUUUCAUUUAUACAAUAAAUGUUCAUUCAGUACUUACUCUGAACCCCAUGCUACUGAGUAGGACGUAUUUCUUGCACCUCAAGGAGCACACAGAUGUGUGAAUGGACGAUGCAGUGUUUGUGGGGAAGACAAUUCGAAGGACAAGACAAGCGUGCUGUGAACAUUCCGGAUCUAGUCCUGGACCUGUUGCGGAGCUGGGAUUGGUCAGGGUCCAGUUUCUUAGGUAGGGCCCCUGAGAAGGCUUCCAUGCACUAAGAGAGAGGAGUCAAAAGGAAAGCCAAGUCAGAUGCCAGGGAGCAUCCCUGGGAAGGGUUCUGGCAUGGCCACCUCCCAUGGCCAAGCCCUUGGAGUUGGAAACCACAAGAGAAGCCCCACCAAAGUUUUGAGAUCUGAGCAAAUGGGGCUUUGCGGGGAGGAAGCAAGAUCCCUGAGCUCCCCAUCAUGGCUCAAGUGUGGAGGCAGCAUGGCAUGGGUGUCUGCACGUGGACCAAGGCCCCUUCAAGGGUUCCUAUGAGCAAGACAUGGAGUGGAGAGCAGAAGGAUGGUCUCAUGCCAGCCAGAGCAGCAUGAAGUAGCAAAGCCUCCAGAAAUCCCUGCUAAGUCUUCUGAGGCCACAGAGGAAUAAAGGAGAAAAUGGAGCAUUUCCAGUGUUGCAAGAGGAAUGCCAAAGGAUCAGUGGAUCAACUCAGGAGGAAUUUUGAGGUUGCCUCUGUAUUGGAGGCUGUUGGUACCCUACCCAGAAGCCUUUGCCCACUGCUGCACCCCUCCUUUACCUGCUGUGAGC